rnacentral:lncRNA from 1 species
AACAACUAGAGCGUCUUCCUUUUAUACUCCUUUAUGCCAUCAUAGCCGUUGGCACUUACCAAAGGAAUUCCUCCAAUCUACCCGUUGGACGGAAUUAAUUAAGAAGAUCAUCCGAGCUAUUUAAGGAAUCUGAUGAUAGCCCAUCAAUCCUGUUUGCCCAUAUAAUCAGGAUCUUGGUUUCCAAGAAUAGAACAUUCCAAGAAUGUUUC